GGCAGUGGGGAAUAUUGGACAAUGGGCGCAAGCCUGAUCCAGCAAUGCCGCGUGUGUGAAGAAGGCCUGCGGGUUGUAAAGCACUUUUUGUUCGGGAAGAAAUCAUGCUGGUUAAUACCUGGUAUGGAUGACGGUACCGAAAGAAUAAGCACCGGCUAACUUCGUGCCAGCAGCCGCGGUAAUACGAAGGGUGCAAGCGUUAAUCGGAAUUACUGGGCGUAAAGGGUGCGUAGGCGGCCUUUUAAGUCGGAUGUGAAAUCCCCGGGCUCAACCUGGGAAUGGCAUUCGAUACUGGGAGGCUAGAGUUUGGGAGAGGGUGGUGGAAUUCCCGGUGUAGCGGUGAAAUGCGUAGAGAUCGGGAGGAACAUCAGUGGCGAAGGCGGCCACCUGGCCUAAAACUGACGCUGAGGCACGAAAGCGUGG
rnacentral:rRNA from 1 species